AACUCUAUGGGGGUAAAUUAUGCAGUGGAUCUUUGCUUGGUAUUAUAACAGGAAAAUAUGCAUGUUAUCAUUUGAAUAGGAUAUGGGGUUUUAGAAAAUGAAGAAUUUGAGGGGUAUGUGUAAAGCAAAGCUAAAAGGUAAAAGAGGAGAGAUCUUGUACAAACCCUUGGGCAAUCUCAAUUGGUAUUGCUUAUUUACGAGUCCAGGAAUAAUCUGAGACAUUUUGAAUAUAUUUUGUAAUGUUUCUGUUCUUAAGGCCUGUUUGUACUCUGGAUUCCCCUGUAGAAAAAAAAGAGCAAUUCACUUCCUGAAAGUGUCCCCAUGAUGAUAAUCUACAUACCCCCUAUAUAACUGCAUACAUGGCAGGCAUUGCACCCUCCAGUGGACUGACUGAGUAAAAAAGUGUCCUGUAAUUUGAAUGCUAAAUUAACUAACCUUUUUUUGAAAAUUGUAAGAAUUUAUCUAAUAAUGCCAAACUUGGCUAUAUUUAUGACAAUUUCCUCUUCACAGACACAUCAAGCUUUUUUUUUCUUUUUUCAGUUGUUUGAGGUAGAGUUUCUCUCUGUAGCUUUGGAACAUGUCCUGGAACUUGCUCUGUAUACCAGGUUAGCCUUGAAGGCACAGAGAUCUGCCUGCUUCUGCCUCAAGUGCUGGAAUUAACGGCAAACUCAAUCAAUACAACUGGAAAAGGAAGAAGAAAGACAAGUUCAUAAGUGUUGACUGCCAAAACCACACGUGAAUAUUUCUCCAUGUUACUGACUUGGCCACAGAGCUCCGAUGCACACUGCAGAGUCAGCAGAGGAUCCAAGGAAGAUCAUUCUUGGUACUCAUGCCCAUACUAAUGUUUUAUGACCACUUUUAAGUUGCCAGCCUCUGCGCUUUCCUCUCAUCUCAAGGAUCCCCAUGGUUCUCUAGACUGGAAGCAGAUACUCUCACUAUGGAGACUCCUAUAAUAUGUCAUGUGGGCUUGCCAACAUGCCAUCCAAUCACAGUGGUAACCAUGCUCUGCCACUGCAUAUUACAAUUUUCCAUCUAGAGCCUGUGUUAUGAGGACAGGAAGUCUGGUUCAUGAAUCUUAGUGACACCCACAUGGACCAGUUAGCAGAGAAGGGUAACCCAGCACUUCUGUAUGAACUGACUCUUGAGAACACGAGAAGUACCAGGAACUCUGCUGUGAUUGCCCCUACACAGACUAUCGGGAAUUUUGGUGAACAUAGCAGUUCCGCAUUACUUAACCAUCUAGCAACACUGGGAGACAGCUAAGAAAACCUAAAGAGUUCUCCUCAGGAUGAUUUUUUUUCUCUGCUGGCUCCCUCAUUCUUCAUUAUUUUAAUGGCUACAUCUUCGCUCUGAUGUGUCAAUGGAAGUGGAAAAUCCAGUGAAGCCAGAGCUUAGAGGAACGCCAGCUGGAACAGAAGGAUAAAGUUUCCUUGGAGAAGCUUCAAAGGGAUGCGGGCCGGGUAAGCUGGGGACAAUGGUGCCCAGGCCUCAGCACAGACAAAGCCUUGCCAGCUGGCCCAGCCUGCUCUUAACAAGACGUGGAGGGACUGGACCCCCUUCGCUGUGUCUGUGGUGAGGAUAUGCCUGAAAGAGUAAAGGAGCAGUCAUGCUUCAUGUUCAGAAGCAUGUGUGAUGGAGAGAUUCUUCAGUUGAG